rnacentral:rRNA from 1 species
CCUACAGGGGGCUGCAGUGGGGAAUAUUGGACAAUGGGGGCAACCCUGAUCCAGCCAUGCCGCGUGUGUGAAGAAGGCCCUCGGGUUGUAAAGCACUUUCAGUGAGGAAGAACGCCUGGUGGUUAAUACCCAUCAGGAAAGACAUCACUCACAGAAGAAGCACCGGCUAACUCCGUGCCAGCAGCCGCGGUAAUACGGAGGGUGCGAGCGUUAAUCGGAAUUACUGGGCGUAAAGCGCGCGUAGGUGGCUUGAUAAGCCGGUUGUGAAAGCCCCGGGCUCAACCUGGGAACGGCAUCCGGAACUGUCAAGCUAGAGUGCAGGAGAGGAAGGUAGAAUUCCCGGUGUAGCGGUGAAAUGCGUAGAGAUCGGGAGGAAUACCAGUGGCGAAGGCGGCCUUCUGGACUGACACUGACACUGAGGUGCGAAAGCGUGGGUAGCAAACAGGAUUAGAUACCCGUGUAGUC